UUACGUAUUUUUCAACCACUUUAACUAAAGUCAUUCAUUCAUUCAGCUAAAAAUUAGAUCCAUAGGAGGGCAAAAAUCAUAGAAAAAUCGAUUAAUUAAACCAGAAAACGCUAAUGUAAAGCUUUUCUAAACCAGUGUCAAGCGUUUGAUGUACAAAAAAGAUUAAGAAAGUCGAUGGACUGACUUGAAUUAAGUAUCCCAAUUUUACGAUAAUAGAGAAUUACUGAUGGUUGGUCUUCCUGCUUAACUAGUUUUAGUAAUGUAAGACGUAAGUAAAUAACGAAACCAAUAAAUUCUAAACGACCACCAAAGUGGACAUAGAAGCCGUGCAGAUAAAGGUUGACAUGUACAGUAGCGGUAGGACAUCAUGCGGAACUAUUGAGGACCGUUUCAAAGGGAAGAUUUUUAUGUACAAAAGCUGACCCAAAUUCCGAUCAUCCUAUUCAAGUACGUCGUUCUACCGCCCAACGAGAACUUUCUCAAAUUCGUAGAACUCAGGGCUUGAGCUGAUUACAAGCUCCUCCCUACGCGGAGAAUUUGGGGAAAAUUUGACUCAAACUCCACCCAACCUGGGGGUGUGAAUCUGUCAAUAAAUAAGGGUGAAAUCACGGGCCGUACUGUUAGUUCAAAUUCGCAUUAGAGCAGCAAUUAUCAGUGAUUUCGUGUUAGUGUAAAAAUCAACAUCAGGGACGGGUACUGGCUGUGGAUGUCCCGCAGUACCUGGACUCUGGACCCAUUGUGAGGGAGAACGCUAGUAGGCGGGUACUGGCUGUGGAUGACCCGCAGUACCUAGUGGCCAAUUAAGAUACUGUUUAUCAUGAUAAAUGUCGGUGACUAGUAAAGCUUUUCCUGAGCAGGUAUUUCGCGCGCCGUACCCUUAAUACCUAUUAACAACCCAAGUUUAGCCGUGGCAGGAUGCAACUUCGGUUGUAGUUUUGCGGGGUUCAGAGAUAGAUUGAUAAUACUCCGAUAGAGUAAAGUUACUACUGUAAAUUAAGUUAUAGGUAGAUAACUGUUGACUCCAAGUGAUGCACUCUAGGUGAGUCGCUCCUUGUUUGAGGCACGUUUGGCGCUUGUAGCUGAUUCUGACAUGUUUUAAUGAUUCUCAUAAUAAUAACAUAAAUCUAAUUUUUGUUGAACUGGUUACUCAAUUACUUUUUCUAAAUUGAUUUCAGAUGUAUUCUCUCGAUCGACCACCUGACGAACUGCCAUUACACAUUGUCUACUGUUUGGGAGUGUAAAUAUAUGUUUUUAUAGUA